rnacentral:rRNA from 1 species
CAGAAUUCGCCUUAGAGUUUGAUCCUGGCUCAGGAUGAACGCUGGCGGUAUGCUUUACACAUGCAAGUCGUACGAGAGUUUUUAACUCAAGUGGCGGACGGGUGAGUAACACGUAAGAAUUUGCCUUUAGGAGGGGGAUAACAACUGGAAACGGUUGCUAAUACCCCAUAUGCUUUCGAGUAAAAUGGAUUUUCCGCCUAAAGAGAAGCUUGCGGCUGAUUAGCUUGUUGGUGAGGUAAUGGCUCACCAAGGCGACGAUCAGUAUCUGGUUUGAGAGGACGAUCAGACACACUGGAACUGAGACACGGUCCAGACUCCUACGGGAGGCAGCAGUGGGGAAUUUUCCGCAAUGGGCGAAAGCCUGACGGAGCAAUACCGCGUGAGGGAUGACGGCCUAUGGGUUGUAAACCUCUUUUUUCAGGGAGGAAUCAAUGACGUGUACCUGAAGAAUAAGCAUCGGCUAACUCCGUGCCAGCAGCCGCGGUAAGACGGAGGAUGCAAGUGUUAUCCGGAAUCACUGGGCGUAAAGCGUCUGUAGGUGGUCAAAUAAGUCAACCGUUAAAUCUUGAGGCUCAACCUCAAAAUCGCAGUCGAAACUAUUCGACUAGAGUAUAGUAGGGGUAAAGGGAAUUUCCAGUGGAGCGGUGAAAUGCGUAGAGAUUGGAAAGAACACCGAUGGCGAAGGCACUUUACUGGGCUAUUACUAACACUGAGAGACGAAAGCUAGGGUAGCAAAUGGGAUUAGAUACCCCAGUAGUCCUAGCCGUAAACAAUGGAUACUAGAUGUUGAACAGAUCGACCUGUGCAGUAUCAAAGCUAACGCGUUAAGUAUCCCGCCUGGGAAGUAUGCUCGCAAGAGUGAAACUCAAAUGAAUUGACGGGGAAGGGC